CCUACGGGGGACAGCAGUGAGGAAUAUUGGUCAAUGGACGCAAGUCUGAACCAGCCAAGCCGCGUGCAGGAAGAAGGCUCUAUGAGUUGUAAACCGCUUUUGUAAGAGGGUAAAGAGCGAGACGUGUACCGGGUUGAAAGUACCGUACGAAUAAGGAUCGGCUAACUCCGUGCCAGCAGCCGCGGUAAUACGGAGGAUGCAAGCGUUAUCCGGAUUUAUUGGGUUUAAAGGGUGCGUAGGCGGUCCGUUAAGUUAGCGGUGAAAGUCUGUGGCUCAACUCCGGCAGUGCCUCUGAUACUGUCGGGCUUGAGUUUAUUUGCGGUAGGCGGAAUGUGUGGUGUAGCGG
rnacentral:rRNA from 1 species